UUAUCCCUGCGGUGCAGGUUGGAAAACUGAUAGUUGUUGAACCAACACAAUUUUCUCGGGAACCCACAAUUUCUUAGGCACUUGUGUUUAAGAAUAGGGAUCCCACCUGAAACCAAAUCGGUUCAGAAUAUCUUUCCAACGGCACAUUUGCGGGGAUUUU
rnacentral:other from 1 species